rnacentral:rRNA from 1 species
UACAGAGGGGGCUAGCGUUGUUCGGAAUCAUUGGGCGUAAAGGGCGCGUAGGCGGCCGAUCAAGUCGGAGGUGAAAUCCCUCGGCUCAACUGAGGAACUGCCUUCGAUACUGUUCGGCUUGAGUCCUGGAGAGGGUAGCGGAAUUCCCGGUGUAGCGGUGAAAUGCGUAGAGACCGGGAAGAACACCAGUGGCGAAGGCGGCUACCUGGACAGGUACUGACGCUGAAGCGCGAAAGCUAGGGGAGCAAACAGG